GGGGAGCUUACCUUUAUGCUUUUCUCAAAGGCUAAAGCAGCAGAAGAGGCGUAGGAAUUGUCGUUUUCUACCAGGCCCUCUCAAGCCAUCUCACUUCCCAACACCAGCUUGCAUGUGUUCCGAAAGUCCACUGAGCAGUCGGGAUGCACCUACGUUAAAGGAGCACCCCCCAUCUCCUCUCUCUCCUCCCUCUGAACCUUUGUUGUAGCCGC
rnacentral:lncRNA from 1 species